CAAAGCCACCGCCCCCUCUCUCUGCCUCCUAUUUAUCCUUCUCUUUUCUUUGCUUUCGUCCAUCGUCCAUUCCAGUUCGACAAUUGAAGAGAGAAGUUGUUAGACAAAACAUUUGGUCUCAGCCAUAUAAAUUCCAAAACAGAGGGCAAUUGCCAUUGGAAUUCCAACAGAACCGUGAACUUGAAGAAAAGAAAGUGUGCGUUACCAGUGGUGUAUCCUUCAUUAGUAUUGCCAUCGUCAAUCAGCUAUUACUCCGUGGAUACUCUGUAUGAGUCAUCGUCGAAAAACAAGGAGAUCGAGGGUCGAAAAUCAAAGUGUUUUAUUUGUAGCGGGAUGAAGACAUUUUGGGGACACUGCACGACUGAGCAUCUAUAUAUUUGAGUUCAUUCACGCUGUUGAGGUUAAUUUAAAGGGGG